AAUCAACGCUGGCGGCGUGCCUAACACAUGCAAGUCGAGCGAGAAAGUGGUAGCAAUACCAUGAGUAAAGCGGCGCACGGGUGAGUAACACGUGACUAACCUACCCUCGAGUGGGGAAUAACUUCGGGAAACCGAGGCUAAUACCGCAUAAUACCCACGGGUCAAAGGAGAAAUCCGCUUGAGGAGGGGGUCGCGGCCGAUUAGUUAGUUGGCAGGGUAAUGGCCUACCAAGACGAUGAUCGGUAUCCGGCCUGAGAGGGCGCACGGACACACUGGAACUGAAACACGGUCCAGACUCCUACGGGAGGCAGCAGUGGGGAAUUUUGCGCAAUGGGGGAAACCCUGACGCAGCAACGCCGCGUGGAGGAUGAAGUCCUUCGGGACGUAAACUCCUUUCGAUCGGGACGAUUAUGACGG
rnacentral:rRNA from 1 species